CAAUCAUCUAAUGAUUAGUUUUGGGAUAUAUUUCCCAACACCUUUGUCUCCUCCACUCUCCUUCACCCUUCAUGGAUUCCACUCUUCUUCACCACUAACUUCACCUCCCUUACUCUCCUUCUCUUGAACCAUCUCCAUCACCUCCACUAUCCUCUUGCUCCACCAUCGGCUCUUCCAUUUUCAACCUUAGGUGAUGCCUCUCUUUCUCUACUGCCGGCUUCUCCUCCCCU
rnacentral:lncRNA from 1 species